rnacentral:rRNA from 1 species
GAUGAACGCUGGCGGCGUGCCUAAUACAUGCAAGUCGAGCGAACGGACCAGAAGCUUGCUUCUCUGAUGUUAGCGGCGGACGGGUGAGUAACACGUGGAUAACCUACCUAUAAUACUGGUAUAACUUCGGGAAACCGGCUCUAAUACCGUAUAAUCUUUUGCACCGCAUUGUUCAAAAGUGAAAGACGGUCUUGCUGUCACUUCUAGCUGCAUCCGCGCUGCAUUAGCUAGUUGGUACGUUCACGGCUUACCAAGGCAACGAUGCAUAGCCGACCGGAGAGGGUGAUAGGCGACACGGGAGCUGAGACGCGGUCCAGAGUCCUAAGGGAGGCAGCAGAAGGGAAUGGGCGGCAAUGGGCGAAAGCAUGAAGGAGCAAGGCAGCGUGAGUGAUGAAGGUCUUCGGAUCGUAAAACUCUGUUAUGAGGGAAGAACAGAUGUGUAAGUAAAUGUGCACAGAUUGACGGAACAUAAUAAGAAAGCCACGGCUAACUACGUG